rnacentral:rRNA from 1 species
GACGAAGGUGGCAAGCGUUGUUCGGAAUCACUGGGCUUAAAGCGCACGUAGGCGGCCCGUCAAGUGUCUUGUGAAAUCCCUCGGCUCAACCGAGGAAUGGCUUGGCAAACUGACGGACUUGAGGCAGGUAGGGGCGCGUGGAACUCUUGGUGGAGCGGUGGAAUGCGUAGAUAUCAAGAGGAACGCCGGAGGCGAAAGCGGCGCGCUGGGCCUGUCCUGACGCUGAGGUGCGAAAGCCAGGGGAGCAAACGGGAUUAGAUACCCCCGUA